rnacentral:rRNA from 1 species
GAUGAACGCUGGCGGCGUGCCUAACACAUGCAAGUCGAACGGAGUCGUUUUGGAAAUCUCUUCGGAGAUGGAAUUCUCGACUUAGUGGCGGACGGGUGAGUAACGCGUGAGCAAUCUGCCUUUAAGAGGGGGAUAACAGUCGGAAACGGCUGCUAAUACCGCAUAAAGCAUUAAAUUCGCAUGUUUUUGAUGCCAAAGGAGCAAUCCGCUUUUAGAUGAUCUCGCGUCUGAUUAGCUAGUUGGCGGGGUAACGGCCCACCAAGGCGACGAUCAGUAGCCGGACUGAGAGGUUGAACGGCCACAGUGGGACUGAGACACGGCCCAGACUCCUACGGGAGGCAGCAGUGGGGAAUAUUGCGAAAUGGGGGAAACCCUGACGCAGAAACGCCGCGUGAUUGAAGAAGGCCUUCGGGUUGUAAAGAUCUUUAAUCAGGGACGAAACAAAUGACGGUACCUGAAGAAUAAGCUCCGGCUAACUACGUG